rnacentral:rRNA from 1 species
GACGAACGCUGGCGGCGUGCCUAACACAUGCAAGUCGAACGAUGCUUUCGGGCCUAGUGUCGCCCGGGUGCGAAACGCGUGGGAAUCUGCCCUUGGGUUCGGCCUAACUGUGAGAAAUUGCUGCUAAUACCGGAUGAUGUCUUCGGCCCAAAGAUUUAUCGCCCAGGGAUGAGCCCGAGUAGGAUUAGCUAGUUGGUGUGGUAAUGGCCUACCAAGGCGACGAUCCUUAACUGGGCAGAGAGGCUGAUCAGCCACACUGGGACUGAGACACGGCCGAGACUCCUACGCGAGGCAGCAGUGGGGAAUAGUGGACAAUGGGCGCAAGCCUGAUCCAGCAAGGCCGCGUGAGUGAUGAAGGCCUUAGGGUUGUAAAGCGCUUUUACCCGGGAUGAUAAUGACAGUACCGGGAGAAUAAGCUCCGGCUAACUCCGUG